CGUGGGCAGAAGUUCUGCUGCAUACUGAAGACCAACAUUGGCUGCCAUGUUCAGACAGAAUCGCGACAAUAUUGACAUUACUAAUUUCGCGAGCACUGGGGAAUAAAUUAAAAAAUACAAAAUUAAUCCUGGGUACACAAUACUUGAUUAUCGAUAUAUUUACUGGAAUGCAGCAUAAGUUCAGCGAUACUGAGUACACAGGUCAUUGCCAUCGUGAGAAAUCCGCAGAGUCUACGACCCCAUCGGUCGAGCAACAGGGCGAGUAAUAACCCAGCUGGAAGUUCUGUGGCACAGGCGAUCGAGAACGACACGAACACCGAGCUCUGGAUAAGUUUUAAUGAAUACACGUGACCGUCGAACGAGAUCAGGGUGAAACACCUACAAGAUUGUAUCGGUUAUUUAUGAAGGUUUUCUCGCAACAUGAACUCGUAUCUUAUACUUGCCAGAAUGCAACUAGAAGAAUAGUGUUUCUCGCCAACCGUGGCGUUUUGAACAGAUCGAGCAGCGUCGCUGAUUCUUGAAUUUUGUCCGGUGCCUCCAUGUUACUCUGCAAGAAUUUAUUUCGAGAAUAAUUAACGAAAGAUAUAAUACGAGUCGUGCCUUUAGCCCUUACACAGUUCAAAAUUCAUAACACACUGAAAAGAAAUUUUAUUUUCAUUUUAUUCGUCAUUAAUAGAUAGCACGAACAGUGGCACUUUGCAUUCUGUUUUAUGGAAUUAGUCGGCAUGGCUUUUGAUAUCGAGAUUUAUUAAUAUAAUGGGUGGUUGGUUGAUUAAAUACUUUUCUGAUCCGAAAUACAGUCGGGAACAAAACUAAGUGGAUUAGUGGAGAAAAUGUAAAAAUUCAUUUCAAUCAUUUGCUGAACUAUCUGCAUAUUAUUAGAAGGAAAUAUAAUAAAUAAAACUCAAGUAUAUGAGGCUGAUACUAA